GCCGACGUAGCUCAGCGGUAGAGCAACUGAUUCGUAAUCAGUAGGUCGCCGGUUCAAUCCCGGCCGUCGGCUCCA
rnacentral:tRNA from 1 species